UACAGAGGGGGCAAGCGUUGUUCGGAAUUACUGGGCGUAAAGGGCGCGUAGGCGGCCUGCUAAGUCGAACGUGAAAUCCCUGGGCUCAACCCAGGAACUGCGUCCGAUACUGAGUUGCUUGAGUCCGGAAGAGGUGAGUGGAAUUCCGAGUGUAGAGGUGAAAUUCGUAGAUAUUCGGAGGAACACCAGUGGCGAAGGCGGCUCACUGGUCCGGUACUGACGCUGAGGUGCGAAAGCGUGGGGAGCAAACAGG
rnacentral:rRNA from 1 species